rnacentral:rRNA from 1 species
AGUGAACGCUGGCGGUAGGCCUAACACAUGCAAGUCGAACGGCAGCACAGUAAGAGCUUGCUCUUACGGGUGGCGAGUGGCGGACGGGUGAGGAAUACAUCGGAAUCUACUUUUUCGUGGGGGAUAACGUAGGGAAACUUACGCUAAUACCGCAUACGACCUACGGGUGAAAGCAGGGGAUCUUCGGACCUUGCGCGAUUGAAUGAGCCGAUGUCGGAUUAGCUAGUUGGCGGGGUAAAGGCCCACCAAGGCGACGAUCCGUAGCUGGUCUGAGAGGAUGAUCAGCCACAAUGGAACUGAGACACGGUCCAGACUCCUACGGGAGGCAGCAGUGGGGAAUAUUGGACAAUGGCGCAAGCCUGAUCCAGCCAUACCGCGUGGGUGAAGAAGGCCUUCGGGUUGUAAAGCCCUUUUGUUGGGAAAGAAAAGCAGCAGGUUAAUACCCCGCUGUUCUGACGGUACCCAAAGAAUAAGCACCGGCUAACUUCGUG